rnacentral:rRNA from 1 species
UACGUAGGGUCCGAGCGUUGUCCGGAAUUACUGGGCGUAAAGAGCUCGUAGGUGGUUUGUCGCGUUGUUCGUGAAAACUCACAGCUUAACUGUGGGCGUGCGGGCGAUACGGGCAGACUGGAGUACUGCAGGGGAGACUGGAAUUCCUGGUGUAGCGGUGGAAUGCGCAGAUAUCAGGAGGAACACCGGUGGCGAAGGCGGGUCUCUGGGCCGAUACUGACGCUGAGGAGCGAAAGCGUGGGGAGCGAACAGG